rnacentral:rRNA from 1 species
AGUGAACGCUGGCGGUAGGCCUAACACAUGCAAGUCGAACGGCAGCACAGUAAGAGCUUGCUCUUACGGGUGGCGAGUGGCGGACGGGUGAGGAAUACAUCGGAAUCUACUUUUUCGUGGGGGAUAACGUAGGGGAACUUACGCUAAUACCGCAUACGACCUGCGGGUGAAAGCAGGGGAUAUUCGGACCUUGCGCGAUUGAAUGCGCCGAUGUCGGGUUAGCUAGUUGGGGGGGUAAAGGCCCACCAAGGCGACGAUCCGCAGCUGGUCUGAGAGGAGGGUAGGCCACCUUGGAACGUGGACAGCGUCCUUACGCCUACGGGAGGCAGCAGUCUCGAACAUUGGACAAUGGUGGCAAGUCUUACCCAGCCAUCCCGCGUGUGAUACGAAGGCCUUCGGUUUGUAAAGCCGGUUUUUUGGGAAAGAAACGCAUCAGCUUAAGACCCCGCGGUUCUGACGGUACCCAAAAAAUAAGCACCGGCUAACUUCGUG